UCCACCAAUCCAGAGGAAAAGAAAAAAAAAGAAAAGGGGCGCCUCCUUCUCCCAACCUCUCUCUCUCGGUCUUCUCUCUGCCGGCGGUCUUGGCGUCGCCGGUGAGCGACGCCGGCCGCCGGUCUCGUCCCUCCUCUCUCACUCGGUCUCUCUCUCUCCCUCGGUCUCUCUCUCUCGGCCUCUCUCUCUCGGUCUUCUCUCUGCCGGCCACGAACCACCACCUCCGCCGUCGCCGCCGGGCCGCUGCCGCCGUCGCCGCUGGGUACACGGCGGUCUCACCGCCGUUGACCGAGAGAUUUGGAUAGAUCGUGAAAACGGGGUCAAAAGAGAUUAAUUUCGUUGUGGAAAAUCGGGCAUCCGCCGGAAUGCUGCCGGAAAGUUGCCGGACUGUCGUCGCCGCCGGUGGGCCACUGCCGGGCAGCAUCUCCGGGGUCCGGCAGCUCCCCCACUCACGAGGUAUCGGGAUUCAAGGCGUGACUAUUGAGCAAGAUCCGAAGGGCAUGGAGAGUAUUUUAUUUUUAAUUAAUCUUUACUUAAACGUUGAACUCGUGUACGAACUUUUAUUUGAAACUUGGUCUUCACAAACGGACUUUUAUUAGAGCAAACAUUUAUAUUGAAUAUUA